rfam:TPA: Bos taurus chromosome 8, whole genome shotgun sequence.
UCCCUGGUGGCUCAGACAGUAAAGCGUCCACCUGAAAUGCGGGAGACCCAGGUUCGAUUCCUGGGUAGGGAA